CCCUUAGAUGUUCUGGGCCGCGCGCGUGCUACACUGAGUGGAUCAGCGGGUCAGGUUGCGCGAAAGCGUUUCCUAAUCUUUAAAUCCGCUCGUGAUGGGGAUUGACGGUUGCAAUUUUCUGUCAUGAACGAGGAAUACCUUGUAAGCGCGGGUCAUCAUCCCGCGCUGAAUACGUCCCUGCCCUUUGUACACACCGCCCGUCGCUCCUACCGAUUGAGUGGUCCGGUGAGGCUUUGGGAUCUGAGCGGAAAGAGCGUUUCGCUGUUUCUGCUCGGAAAACUCAGUCGAACCUUAUCAUUUAGAGGAAGGAGAAGUCGUAACA
rnacentral:rRNA from 1 species